GGAGGUCACCUAAUGGGUUCGGGAGGGGUUACGGGUUCGGGUUUGGGUCUGGUACUGGUUCAGGUUCUGGUUCUGGUUCUGGUUAUGGGAGUGGUGGUGCUCAUGGUGGUGGAUAUGGUGCUGGAAGUGGAACCGGUGGUGGUGGUGGUGGUGGUGGUGGUGGUUCUGGUGGUGGAAGUGGUGGUGGUGGUUCGACUGAAAAUGGGAAUGGUAACCGUUGGCCAUCAAGGAACCCGAACCCUAACCACCAUGGUUAAAAACAAGGAGUUUUUGAGGUUUGCUUUGUCAGGUGACAAUGGUUAGUGUAAUAUAAAAUACAUGGUGUGUAAUAUAUAUUUUAUAUUUUUAAUCAAUCUAUGUUAGUUUUAUAAGUUAAAAAGAAAAAACCUAUGUACCGUCUAUGUGCUUGAUUAUAUCAUUUGAGCUUUAAGGCCCUGUUUAUUUCCAUUUCAUGC
rnacentral:lncRNA from 1 species